rnacentral:rRNA from 1 species
AGAGUUUGAUCCUGGCUCAGGAUGAACGCUAGCUACAGGCUUAACACAUGCAAGUCGAGGGGCAGCAUCAUCAAAGCUUGCUUUGAUGGAUGGCGACCGGCGCACGGGUGAGUAACACGUAUCCAACCUGCCGACAACACUGGGAUAGCCUUUCGAAAGAAAGAUUAAUACCGGAUGGCAUAGUUUUCCCGCAUGGGAUAAUUAUUAAAGAAUUUCGGUUGUCGAUGGGGAUGCGUUCCAUUAGGCAGUUGGCGGGGUAACGGCCCACCAAACCAACGAUGGAUAGGGGUUCUGAGAGGAAGGUCCCCCACAUUGGAACUGAGACACGGUCCAAACUCCUACGGGAGGCAGCAGUGAGGAAUAUUGGUCAAUGGACGAGAGUCUGAACCAGCCAAGUAGCGUGAAGGAUGACUGCCCUAUGGGUUGUAAACUUCUUUUAUACGGGAAUAAAGUGAGCCACGUGUGGCUUUUUGUAUGUACCGUAUGAAUAAGGAUCGGCUAACUCCGUGCCAGCAGCCGCGGUAAUACGGAGGAUCCGAGCGUUAUCCGGAUUUAUUGGGUUUAAAGGGAGCGUAGGCGGGUUGUUAAGUCAGUUGUGAAAGUUUGCGGCUCAACCGUAAAAUUGCAGUUGAUACUGGCGACCUUGAGUGCAACAGAGGUAGGCGGAAUUCGUGGUGUAGCGGUGAAAUGCUUAGAUAUCACGAAGAACUCCGAUUGCGAAGGCAGCUUACUGGAUUGUAACUGACGCUGAUGCUCGAAAGUGUGGGUAUCAAACAGGAUUAGAUACCCUGGUAGUCCACACAGUAAACGAUGAAUACUCGCUGUUGGCGAUAUACAGUCAGCGGCCAAGCGAAAGCAUUAAGUAUUCCACCUGGGGAGUACGCCGGCAACGGUGAAACUCAAAGGAAUUGACGGGGGCCCGCACAAGCGGAGGAACAUGUGGUUUAA